GCCGGGGUGGCGAAACUGGUAGACGCGUACGGCUUAGGACCGUAUACCGAAAGGUUUGGAGGUUCAAGUCCUCUCCCCGGCA
rnacentral:tRNA from 1 species